rnacentral:rRNA from 1 species
CAGUAGCCGCGGGAAUACGUAGGUCCCGAGCGUUGUCCGGAUUUAUUGGGCGUAAAGCGUGCGCAGGCGGUUGUGUAAGACAGGUGUGAAAUCCCCGGGCUUAACCUGGGAACUGCGCUUGUGACUGCACAGCUAGAGUAUGGCAGAGGGGGGUGGAAUUCCACGUGUAGCAGUGAAAUGCGUAGAGAUGUGGAGGAACACCGAUGGCGAAGGCAGCCCCCUGGGCCAAUACUGACGCUCAUGCACGAAAACGUGAGGAGCAAACAGGAUUAGAUACCCGCGUAGUCCCUGUCUCUUAUAC